ensembl:lncRNA
GGCGCGGCUCCGCGUCGGGUACGGAGCGGCCGUUUGGCAUCAAACUGUCGCCCUCCGCUGAUGGGAUCGGUGAUGUCCCGACCCCAAGUGGACGCCCGCUGAGGGGUUUAUUCUUCUCGGCAAAGCCUGAGCGGGCGGUGAGGGGCUCCUGAGCUGCACGGUCGGCCCUGCGGCCCACCAGGUUCACCUGAAUCUCAUCUCCAUCCAAGCUGCACCACAGGCUGAUCACUGGCUUUGGGUUUAGUGCAAACCCAGGAGUCUCGUGGGAACCAACACCGCAGGAUGGAAGAUGGGGCUGUUUUCUGGGACAGGUGAGGAGCAGGGGAUGAGAUGCCCAGGUUUUGCAGGACGGGCUCUCCAAACAGCACACUGCAAGUUGCCUUGCAGGGACUUACACCACCAGCUGAGAUGUGUCUGGGGGAGUUGAUUCUGGCCCUGCAGCCCCUGGUGAGCUUUUCCAUUACCUGCUCCUGAAUCACCCCAUCACAGCAGCCCAAGGACCCCAGUGACCAUCGUGGAUGUGGCCGG